rnacentral:rRNA from 1 species
CCUACGGGAGGCAGCAGUGAGGAAUAUUGGUCAAUGGGCGGAAGCCUGAACCAGCCAAGCCGCGUGAGGGAUGAAGGCCCUAGGGGUCGUAAACCGCUUUUGCCCGGGGACAACACCCUGGACUUGUCCAGGUCUGCGGGUACCGUGCGAAUAAGGACCGGCUAAUUCCGUGCCAGCAGCCGCGGUAAUACGGAGGGUCCGAGCGUUAUCCGGAUUCAUUGGGUUUAACGGGUGCGUAGGCGGGCGUUCAAGUCAGCUGUAAAAUCGCGGGGCUCAACCGCGCCGCGCAGUGGAAACUGGGCGCCUUGAGGUCACAACAGGCAGGCGGAAUUCGAGGUGUAGCGGUGAAAUGCAUAGAUAUAACGAGGAACCCCGAUUGCGAAGGAAGCGUGCCGGGGCGCGACUGACGCUGAGGCUCGAAGGUGCGGGGAUCAAACAGGAUUAGAUACCCCUGUAGUC